UACAGAGGGUGCGAGCGUUGUUCGGAAUUAUUGGGCGUAAAGGGCGCGUAGGCGGCGCCACAAGUCACUUGUGAAAACUCUGGGCUCAACUCAGAGCCUGCAAGCGAAACUGUGGUGCUGGAGUAUGGGAGAGGUGCGUGGAAUUCCCGGUGUAGCGGUGAAAUGCGCAGAUAUCAGGAGGAACACCGUGGCGAAGGCGG
rnacentral:rRNA from 1 species